rnacentral:misc_RNA from 1 species
AGACUCAACCCCCCCAGGGUUUCUUGCUCUGGGAAGGUUGGAUUUGGGCCCUGCCUCCUGGCUGGCCUUAAAGGCGUUAGUGGGAUCUGCCCCUGUGUCUGGCGUAAUAAGUUUCGCUGUGCAUCUGGGUCGGGGCUUGCUCACAACCACCAUCUUUUGACUCUGACCUCAAAUCAGGUAGGGCUACCCGCUGAACUUAA